GCAGCAGGCGCGAAACCUUUACACUGCACGCACGUGCGAUAAGGGGACUCCGAGUGCGAGGGCAUAUCGUCCUCGCUUUCGUGUACCGUAGGGUGGUACACCAACAAGGGCUGGGCAAGACCGGUGCCAGCCGCCGCGGUAAUACCGGCAGCCCGAGUGAUGGCCGAUCUUAUUGGGCCUAAAGCGUCCGUAGCUGGCUGCGCAAGUCCGUCGGGAAAUCCACUCGCCCAACGAGUGGGCGUCCGACGGAAACUGCACAGCUUGGGACCGGAAGGCUCGAAGGGUACGUUCGGGGUAGGAGUGAAAUCCUAUAAUCCCGCACGGACCACCGAUGGCGAAAGCACUUCGAGAAAACGGAUCCGACAGUGAGGGACGAAAGCCAGGGUCUCCAACCGGAUUAGAUACCCGGGUAGUCCUGGCCGUAAACAAUGUUCGCUAGGUAUGACACAGAGGUACGCGUCUCUGUGUGCCGUAGGAAGCCGAGAAGCGAACCGC
rnacentral:rRNA from 1 species